CACACACUCAAUGGUCACACAUUUGUUUUAGCCCGGCCACAGUAAACCCAAGCUUUUCAUGCUCUGUGUUAUAUAAUCCGAAUAAAAUUUCUAUAAAAAUAUUUCCAAAUUAUUUACAGAAAUAAACAAUCUGUUAGGUGUUGUAUAUUAAGGUGAGUUUAACCAUUCAUGUGUAUAAGAAGACAGCUGGCAUAUAUAUAUAUAUAUAUAAACUAGACUGCAUACUCGUCCUCCAAAAUGGCCAGUAUUUUACACUAUAGAGCGGUUUGCUGAUUUCUCGAUAUCAGUCUGCUGCAGCGUUAUUUACCAGCUCCAUGCAUGCAGACAGAUUUUAUUGUGUAUUGACUGUCCAUUGUGGAUUUUUAACGAUUAUUAAUUAAUUAUAACAUUUAGUCAC